UAAGGAAUAUUGGUCAAUGGACGCAAGUCUGAACCAGCCAUGCCGCGUGAAGGAUGAAGGUCCUCUGGACUGUAAACUUCUUUUAUCUGGGACGAAAACGGGAUUUUUAUCUCAAUUGACGGUACCAGAGGAAUAAGCACCGGCUAACUCCGUGCCAGCAGCCGCGGUAAUACGGAGGGUGCGAGCGUUAUCCGGAUUUACUGGGUUUAAAGGGUGCGUAGGUGGGCUUAUAAGUCAGUGGUGAAAUCUCCGAGCUUAACUUGGAAACUGCCGUUGAUACUAUAGGUCUUGAAUUAUCUGGAGGUUAGCGGAAUAUGUCAUGUAGCGGUGAAAUGCUUAGAUAUGACAUAGAACACCAAUUGCGAAGGCAGCUUACUACAUAUAAAUUGACGCUGAGGCACGAAAGCGUGGGGAUCAAACA
rnacentral:rRNA from 1 species